GUUGGCGCAGACUCAGAAGGGUCUAACGCCUUCGCCAGUGAUGCCAGGCUUGUGAUAGCUCCCGUUGCCCUCGGUUGCACUUGCCCGGCCACUGCACGAGUACAACAUUCACUACACGAUACGUAAGGCCAAAUGGAUGCUUACUAUGCAGGGCUAACCCGUGACGAUCAGCACACGCAACACCCAAAGCUCCCGACGUGAUCCUGGAAUGGAAAUACAACCAAUAAUAACAGAUUGUGAACUAUCGGACCAUGACAAUGGAGCAAGUAGAUAAAGGCACGUGGAUUUCGCUUUGAGCAUUUAAUACGUUUACGAAAUUCGUGAUUAGAUUCACUGACGUACUCACACAUCGUUCAAACAUUUCACAAGAGGUGCUUCCAUACUUUGACUGUGACCGUCCUGUGCUGUGCUGAGAGGGUUGAACUGUUUUGCCAAGGUGCCUUGGUUUUGCUUUCCUCGAGCACGGCAAAAUGCACUCUCGUUUGCAGUACCCCUGUGGCCCCUAGAAAUCCUAGAAAUGGUAACCUGCCUACCGAACGAAACCAACCGUAACCACCACCACCAGUCACGUGAGGUUACUCACACGGCUGCGGCCAUGGCUACUGCCACUAAAAUCCGACGCCAUCCGAUCCGAUGUGUCGGAACGGAAAGCUUUCACGCACGCUUUCAUUCUAUUCAUAAAAAAAUGAGCUGCCCCUUUUUGCCUUUUUCUCCAAGGGAGCAAGAGAAAUGACGGAAACGUUUCAGACGGGUGCAGCAACCCGUCGGCCUGAAAAGAAUGUGAGUGGAAGUUGGUGGCGUCUGCUGCGUCGUCUGCUCACGCGUUAUUUCCCUCUGCGGUGCCAAACAUUCCGACGCAAACCUUCUUUUUCCUAUAAAUUCGUCAUGAAAUGAAGUGAAGGUGCAUUUGUGAGCACAAUGGACCACCUGUCGCGGCACGUCACAUCAAGAUACCAUGAGAUUGCGAAAAAGUGGAUCGUUGGCAGCGCACGUGGUUUUAUUUUGCCGACGACGGGUCCUGAGAUGUGUUGUUACGUAGACUGUAUUUCCUAUCACCUUUCAGAAUAUCACAAUGGCUUCGAAGUUUUACGGAAACACCGGCGAACUUCGCUGCAUAGCAGAGGCGACCGCCUCGCUUGAGCUCAGACCGAGGGAGGAACGAGGCACGGAGCUCGAACAGAUUUUUGUCCGUAUUUGAACUUCGAAACAGUUAGUUUCGACCGUUGCAGGUAACUUUUUUGUUUUCGUUCCUAUGCAGAAUGAAGAAAGAAGUUCCUAUGUUGUCUAUGCAGCAAGCUUGAAUCCCUCAAUUUAGUCUGCAGCCCCAAGAAUGCAAUCGGCAGACACCCACACUGCUAAGAGCUUGCAAUUUAUUUACGCUAAACACGUGAACAAACUUCGGGAAGUUUGUAAUAGCAUAAAAGAUGAUAUCGUACAAUAAAAGGCUAAAAACAUGCCCUUACUAGGAACACAUGAUAAAAACAUCUACAGUAGGGCACACCAAAUAGAUCAGAUACAUACAAAAAGCUUGAAUGUGGCAUAUAUACAAGAAUCGAGCUCGUAUUAGUUUCGCUUAGAACGUGUUCGAGCCAACUUUCGCUCUUCAGAUUUGCCAUCCUUUGCAUCGGCGUUGAAAACGUUGUCCACGUCGGAUGGAAGUAGAGUUCUGUGUCCCUUCCGCUUUUUCGCGGGAGACUUCUGCUCCUUUCCAUCUCCACCGGGCAAGAUGCAGACAGCAUUCUGCUCAUCCAACGCAGACUCUCCAUCAGGUGUCACCUAGAGUGAAAGUAUCUGUGUAAACACUUCUUCGUACAACUUAGCAUCGCACAUCAGCCAAUGAAUGAGUCUUUACGAGAUACGUAAGGAAGAGAACAGUCUGAAGCAGUUGAUGGAUUAUGACCUAUGAGUAGAGCCUGAAGUUUUAGGAUUUUACCCGAUUCUUCCCCGAAUUUGCACCCCAAAUUGAAGGUUCACCCUUUAGGGUGAAACCCGAUUUUUACCCGGCAAAUUCCCCUCACUGGGAUGUCUGUAGAAAUGCAUUAACUGACUUGUUUGGCAGCAAAUGCAGUUACAUCACCGUUUGUACCAAACCAUUAGUCAGUUAGUUUGAGCAACUGAGCCAGAUUUCUCUCAGAAUUUAGCAUACCGGGAGUUUUUUCACCCGAAUUCGCAUGAAUUUAGUGCACAUGUUUAUUUACCCGAUUUUUACCCAGCGAAUUUAGAAAAGUAUAUUUCCCAAAAACUUCAGGCUCUACCUACGAGACACCGUUUAACUUUGGUUUCUACUGGACUGUUGAUAUAAUACUGUAAAAUAAAAUCUGGCGCAGUUUUCAUUAAAGGCACGCCGUACUACAUUCAUUCAACCUUUCGACACAAAUCCAUGUCGUCGUCUGUUGUUGAACGGUGUGGUUCGAUCAGGUAAGGCGGCACACAACUGCAGAGCGUAUCGUGUGCAGAGCGCAUGCAGGUUUCUUAAGAUCACGGGACACUGUGACUUGGGCGUAUCCCUUGUACCAAACAAACCAAUUAUCGAUACCCAAUAAUGUCCAAGUUAGAGUGAUCAAUAUGCACCCUCAACUUUCCCAACUCCAACGGUUAUCUGCAUAUGGUAAGUACGAGACUCCAGUCAGAGUUCAGGAAAGCAGUACCAGACACACUUCCUUUGUUCUUCUGCAGGAGUCCCCUUCAGCAGUACCCCGAAGGAGCACGGUCGGCUCUGAAAAUACGGGGCACCCUCCUCUUGAACCCUGGGGAGGCAACUGACGAAGUGCACAGAAGCCUAUUUUGGUGGUCUACCACAAACUUCCAUGGUACACGAUAUCCUCCCUCAGGACAAAUGCGAGUACAGGCAUACCAAAUGAGCAGGAACAGCCUACCAUUGGGCACUCCUUGUGUGCAGAAGCUGCAACCAUGGCCCGUGUACGUCGCCGUGGUGUUUUCAAGUCGGCUCUGCUGUCUUCGGCGCUCCUGACACUUGCCUGCCUCUGUGUACGGCGCCUCCUGGUGGGAGCGCUGGUCUCUAGUUCGCUGUUUUCUUGAUCUGUCACAUUCAAGGACGAACUGGAAACCUGUAGGAUCUUGCUGCCCUUUUCUUCAGAGGUGUCUCUUAAAUUAUUUACAUCCUCUUUUUGAGGGGCUUUUACUUCUGCUGCCAUUAGAGACUUGUCCUUGGCUGCUGCAGACUGCCUCUCACAUUGCAGUUGCGCGCUGGUGGGGCUACUGGGCCGCAUGCCAACGAUAAAGUCACGGAGGCGUUUCAAGGGAGAUAACGAAGCCGUACUCUGCUCAGUCAGUGCAGGAUUCCUCUCAGGAGUCACCUAGAGCAAAAAUAUCAGUGUAAACACUCUUCCGUGCAGUUUACUUUGACGCAUCUAUCAAUGAAAAAUGAGUAGUGCUCGACUGUAAUCAUGACAGCAACUCUCCUUGC